rnacentral:misc_RNA from 1 species
GCAAGUUCAACGCUAUUCUAAAAUUAUUCAUGAAAAUCCACGAUAACCCAAUUUUUUUCAUUUAAACCGUGCUAUGCUCGUGGCUACCGACAGCCACCAUUCCACAUCACGAGCGACCCUUUUGAGUGCCAACCAUCACUCCACCACAUAUGCGCAUGUUGCAGGUUACAGCUGGAGCCCCUCCAAAUUCCCUCAUGUCCGCCACCGCAACCGCCACAGCAACAUCGUCCGCUCCACAAGAGCAGCCGAUUCUAAUCCCUUCCCUCCCAAAUGAUAUCGCUUUAAAUAUCCUAGCUCGGCUACCUAGGUCUCACCACCCUCUCCUUUCCUUGGUCUCCAAGCCUUUCCGCUCUGUCUUCUCCUCCCCUCUCUUCUAUACCACCCGCUCUCUCCUUCGCUGCUCCCAACCUUUUCUCUAUCUCUCUAUCCGCAUCCCCACCACAAGCUCCUUGCAUUGGUUCACACUUUAUCACAACUCUCCGAAUCGCACAAAACCUCCAUAUUUCCUAGUCCCAGUCCCACCUACCCCCUCUCCUUUACUUGGCUCUGCUCUGGUUGCUGUUGGCCCCAAGAUCUACGUCAUCGGCGGCUGCCUCAAGGAUGUCCCCUCCUCCCACGUAUGGGCUCUGGAUUGCCGCUUCCACACCUGGGAAUCCGUUCCCAACAUGAGAAUUUCCCGCGAAUUCGCCGCCGCCGGGGUGGUGGAUGACAAAAUCUACGUCAUCGGCGGCUGCGUCGUGGAUACUUGGGCCCGGUCGAAGAAUUGGGCGGAGGCUUAUGACCCAAAGACUAGAACUUGGGAAUCAGUGGAUAGCGCGCACGAUAAUUUAUUGCGAGAGAAAUGGAUGCACGCGAGUGCUGUGAUAGAUAACAGAAUCUACGCAAUGGCGGACAGGAAUGGGGUGGUUUACGAGCCCCGAACUAAGAAAUGGGACAGUGUAGGGAGUGAAUUGGAUUUAGGAUGGAGAGGGAGGGCGUGUGUGGUGGAUGAGGUUUUGUAUUGUUACGAUUUCUUGGGAAAGAUUAGGGGUUUCGACGUGGGAAAGGGUUUUUGGAAGGAGUUGAGAGGGGUGGAUAAGGAGUUGCCAAGGUUCUUGGCCGGGGCAACAAUGGCAAAUGUUGGAGGGAAGUUGGUGGUGGUUUGGGAGAAGAAAGGGAGUGGAAUUGGGAAUGAAAAUGGAAAUGGGGAUGGGAAGGGAAAGGGAAAGGAAAUGGAGAUAUGGUGCGCUGAAAUUGAGGUGGAGAAGAAGGGAGAUGAGGAACUGUGGGGCAAGAUCAAAUGGUGUGAUGUUGUUCACAAGGUUCCAAUUAGGUCCACCAUUGUUCAUUGCUUGGCGGUUACGUUGUGAGGAUCUAUUGGAACAGGCCAAGCUAAACUUGCCUUGAGAUGACAUGGGGAAGUCUCAACAAGGGAGCCAUGAAGAAGUUUAAGCCUGAUCUCCAUGAUUAUAGUCUCAAGCUGGUAUGUAAUCAGGAGACUACCAUGGGCAUGUGAAGGAUCUAAAAAUAUUCAGGGCAGUUGACUUGGAAUCACUUUAAUACCAAAGAGGAGUUGCUAGAGUAAUGCUCCUUUUCGUGUGUGUGGCCCAUGUAAUUAGUAUUUCUGUUUUGUUGUCAUUUAUUGUAUAUAUUGGUUUGUAAGUGUUCAAGGCAAAAAGCUCUUGCCAGUUUUAUAAAGAAUUCUUUGGUGAAAGAUUGGGUUCAUAGGAAUAAGCUUUUGUUGCAUGUUAAUUAGUUGAAGUUGUGCAGAAGCUAAACAACAUGAAAUAUAUAUAUUUAUAUAUUGUAUUAUCCUUUAAAUACUUUAGUCAGUUUUGUGUUUUCCUAGUUGCUUAUUCAUGAUGAGAACCAGAAAAUGAUAUCUGCAGAGCAGGAUGCCAACUGCCAAAUAAAUAUUGACAUGGUAAGUUUAUUUCAAAUGCCAAGAAUGCCUCUACAGAAAAAUUUUUUUUUUUCUUCUGGAUCCAGUUUUUGUAUUUUAUGCUUGUGCUGAAGUCUCUUGCCAGAGACUAGGGUAGAAUACUGCCAAGGAGGUGUCUAUUCCCAUUCCUCCAGCUGAUUCUAUUUUUGCUGGUUGUCCGUAAUGGUUGCUAUAUGGUUUGGUGAGGCUACUG